UCUGGGCAGUGUAGCGGCUGCCUGUAACCCGAGCGGGAGUAGGAGAGAUGGGAGCUGGGGCCUCUGGCAGAGGGCCGCCGGGAUCAUGUGGAAGGCACGUCCACUCGAAGCGUGGAGUCUCUGGUCCGGGCUCCUCCGCGGAAGCGAGAGAGGAGUCCGCGGAGAUAAUGCGGAAGGCACAGCGUCAGGCGGGAGACCGAGCAGCGAUCACUUCCCGCUCUGCGCAGUCGAGGGCCAGCGUGCUCGAAUGCUCGCCCGGCGAUCAUCCCACGCCAGAAGCCUCCUGCCACCUCUCUC
rnacentral:SRP_RNA from 1 species